ACAUUUGAAGUGUAAAUACAUAAAAUAUCCAAUAAAAAAUAGAAAAAGAGAAAGGCUUGUAGAUGUAAAUGUUUUCCAGUUAGUCCUGAAUAAUGUUUAAGUGAUUCAACAAAAAUGCAUGACAGUCUAGCAGGCUAUGUCAACAACAACAACAACAACAACAACAACAUCAUCAACAACAACAACAAAGGAUUGGGCACUAUCUCUGAUGCUCAUCUCUAGGCCACCAUGGUAACAUUACCCAAGAUACCUAUGACUUCAGGCAAGAGGAAGAUUUAACAGUCCCUGUUCUUGUGUUUUCUCAUUUAGGUCUCCUUCUACACUCUCUAACUUUGUGACUUUCCUUCUGCUAUAUAAUAUUGUUUUCUUCCCUAUUCAAUAGGCUGUGAGGAUCUCAGCAGCAGUAAUGGCCUUCCUAACUUAAAUUUCUCACCUGUUUUCUGACAUUUAAUUAUCAGCCAUUGUGUAACAAAAUAACAAAGAGCAAAUUAAAUUGCACUAAAUUUGUUUUAUGUAUGGCAUAAAAAUAAACACAAAUUCAUUAUUAUUCCAACAUGCUCCAUGCCUAUUUGCUCAUUCUUGCUGUUUUCCCCCCAAAGGUAGUAUCUACCAAGCUGUAUGAUGUUAUGCAUAUUUAUUGCAAAGAUUAAGAAAUAAGGCUAUUGUGCGGAGGGGGUGUGGCGGCAGUCCCAAGAUGCUCCGGGACUACAGCUAAGUCUCAUGACUAGCACCUGACUUCCUCACACACCUGAGACUAGCCACGUCCAUUGUGAGAGCUGCGCAGGCGCACCAUGACGCAAGAUCAGGCCAUGUGACGUGGACCUAUGAACUGAGAUUACACAGUCUGGACUGAGGAGGCGGAGUUGAGGGAGGAUGUAAGGGAGUGUGCUGGGGGCUGAGGAGGAGAAAAAAGAAAGGAAAGAUUCCUGCUUGCAUGCUGUAAGGUUCCUGAAUAAACUGCUUUGAGAAGAA